AGAAAGAAUAAUCACUGGGGGAAACCCUACAGACACAUGCAGUUCAGCAGCACCAUAGGAGCCAAGCACUAGAAGCUCAGCUCUAGCUGUGUCACAUGCUGUGCUGAGUUCACCCAAGCAAUUCUGGAUUUUGCUGGGAAGCCAUCUGUGAACUCAACAGCCUGCAAUACCGACUGGGUAACUGAGUGCAUGCUGCAAUAGCCUUUGCAUGUUCCAGAGCACCGCUCUUCAGCUCAUAUAUCAGACAUUCAAGGAAAUCAGCAUCAUACCUGGGGUUCUCUCUAGGAUAUGACUGCUCUAUACACAGGGAAAUCUCAACCUGGCAAAAAUUAUUUUAAAAAAUGUAGUAGAUAUUUUAAAGAGUUAACACCACCAGCCUGUCACUGAAUCAAAAUUUAUACAUCUUCCUCUGUCCAAUAUCUUGGACAAAACAGCAAAGAAAACCUGUAAAUCACCAAGGUACUAUAAAAAUGCAAAAUAUAUAGAAAACACUUGUGUUCCACAAACCCUUAGUACUGCAGCCGCUCGGAGGUUCUCAGAGCCCAGGGUUAAUGCAAAGCAGUGACUGUGGGAGCACUGUCUGCUCUCCAGAGUGGGGAUGGGACAAAAGGAGCAUGUGCAGCACAGGCCUAAAGGUACAUGGGGUAACCAAAACCAGUUUAGCAGGGAAACAGGGACAGUAUCACACAGGAAGUGAGACUAGGCAAUGAAGAGCCCCAGAGAAAAGCCCAGGAGACAUCAGAUGAGAAGGGGGUAGGAAAAAGAGGUUGGAGCAGGACAGGGAAUGACAAUAACAGAUGAGAACUGGGAACUUGGGACACACAUCCACAGAAAUGACCUGAAUUUGGGGUGGACAGAUGGGGUAGUACAGCCUGCGACAAGGGCAUUCAGGGUUGUAUUGGGUUUGUGUGGCAAGGUUUUCAUAGCAGGGGGGCUACAGGGGUGGUUUUUGUGAGAAGCUGCUAGAAGAUUCCUCCAUGUCCAGUAGAGCCAAUGCCACCCAGCUCCAAGAUGGACCCACUGCUGCCCAAGCCCAAGCCCAUCAGCAACAGUGGUAGCACCUCUGGGAUAACAUAUUUAGAAGGGGAAAAAAACUGCUGCAGGACAGCAGCAGGAAGAGAAGAGUGAGAAUAUGCGAGAGGAACAGCUCUGCAGACACCCAGGUCAGUGCAGAAGGAGGGGCAGAAGGUGCUUCAGGCCCCUGAGCCCAUGGUGCAGACCAUGCUGAGGCAGGUUGUCCCCUUGUAGCCCAUAGAGGUCCAUGGUAGAGCAGACAUCCACCAUGUAGCUCAAAGCGGAUCCCACACAGGAGCUGCCGGAUGUCUAAUUUUGAUUGGCAAUAAAUUAAACUAAUUUCCCUAAGUUGAAUUUGUUUAGCCCAUGAUGGUAAUUGGUGAGUGAUCUCGCUGUCCUUAUCUCGAACCAUGAGCCUUUUCUUAUAUUUUUCUCUCUCCCUGUCCAGUUAAGGAAAGGAGUGAUAGAUAAGCUCUGUGGACACCUGGCAUCCAGCCAGGGUCAGCCCACCAAAAGGGUGAAGCUAAAUAAUGAGCAGAAGAAGCAUGUGCUGGCCCAGGACCCCCACCUCAUCACUGCAAUGUCUGCAAGCAUCCCUGAAUGCCCCCAGCAUCCUCUCCAAUUAAGCAGGUGUCUCACUCCUCCAGUGUCUGCCCUAAGGAGAGGAAAAGCUACAACUGCUGUCAGCUCUCCCACACGUCAACCAACAUGCAUUUGCACACACAGCCUGAAAGUUUCAGCUUGCUGAGAAACCCAUCCAGUGUCUGGGUGGCAUCUCAGGGGAGAACAGAGCUGCCCCUGCCCCCACUACUGCAUCACAGGCCCAUGCCUCAGGAGGCUGGGAGGGGGCUGAAGGAAGUUUACACCAUCAACAUGGCUUUUGCUACAUCCUAUUGCACACAAUAGUAACGGCCCUCCCCCCUUUUUUGGGCUGUGCACUUGUCUUGUCCUUGCUGCAUAUGCAGAUGCCAUUUGCAAUAAUGCAACGGUGCGUGCACAACUAUGCGUGACUGAUCACAUAGAUAAACCAUCACUGCUCUCACACUGUCAGCUAUCGUGUCACCAGGACAGAAAAGCCAGUUGUCUGCAGCUUCUCAAGUUCAUCCACUUGCUGAGGAAGCCAGGUUCUGUCAUCGGUCACCAAAGAGAAGAGAUCAGUGCCUGCCCCUCCUGCUCCCCUUGUGAGGAAGCUGUAGUUUGUAGAACAAGCCCUAUGCGUGGCUCUGCUCCUGUGCAGAUGCCAUGUGCCAGGUUCCACCAGCUGGCAGAUCACAGUUCAUUGAUGUAUGUCUGGCCCUUGGCUUCAUGGCGCAGAAGAAAAUGCUACACUGUUAACACAGAUGAGGCUUUGCUGUGAGAGGCAGGCAGCACCCACCAUCAACACUGCCCAAGACUGGAUACUUCUGCACAGAGGCUGCAUGCGGCAAAAACUUUCCAACCUUACUCAUGAAGACCAACUUCACACUGCAUCUUCCUGACACCUGCAAAGCCAUGUGAGCAAAGCUGCUCUGCACAGCACUGGCUACACAACAAAGCAGGAUUUAGGAGCAAGUAAACUGAUGUCUUUCCUGAAAUAGCCCAAAGCUAAGCUGGGGAGAUGUGGAAAGCAGGAAAUGCUCACUUUGCUGAUUUGGAGGAUACAGACUGGCAGGACAGCUCAACUGCUCUUAGCACAGAUGACUGAGCGGGUUAGGAGUGAGCAGUGCCACAGAACAAUUUGGGGAGGCAGAAAUAAACAAAUGGCAGCAGUUGGUUGUGUGACAACAGAGAUGCCAACUGGAGGGGCAGGAGGCAGGAACUGUGCUGAAAUAGCUGGUAUUGCCAGAGGCUGAAACAGACUUGUGGUAAAAAUAGUACUUCCUAAUAGUGUAAAUCAGUGCUGCAGUAUCCAGUGACAAUACACCUCUUAAAAGCAAGCACCUUCCUUAUAGCUGAUAUCCUUACAAGGAACUGCUCAUGUAGUAACAGUGUCAGGUCUGUGUAAAUUGCAAUUGACCACGUAGAGGAAAAGCUGGUAUUUUUCAACUGCUCUUAAAAUCUGAAAAAAACACUUAUUUAUUCUGCUGUUGGAAUUAAUUCUCAGAAAGAAACUGUCAUUUCUGAUCAGACACUGGACUAGGGCCGGGUUGCUAAAUACUGGUUUUUAAUAUUGUAAUACAAAAAUUCUCUACAGUGCUGCUGUUCUCUACCACUGGUACUAGAUUUCAUAAAGACACUGUACCAAUCUUAAUUUGCUAAAUAAAUAAAUAGCAUGCUGGAAAACAGCAUUAACAUUUCUCAAGGAGCAACUUGCUUCAUUCAAGAUCCUUGCAUAUUGUGUACUAAUUCUGAAGUAAGAGCAAUUAGAGGUAAAAACCACCUAUUAGUACACUGUAUCUGCAGUCAGCCAACAAACCAUAUUUUUUACAAAAUGUUCCUGAAAUUAUUCAUAUGUAAAAAGGGAUUGUAAAGUGCAUUCAUAUGGAAAAAAAAAACAAAACCACAACCUUUCUGUUGCUUCUCUUUGAGGAACUGUACUAGUGGCUGAGUAACUUACAGAACAGUGAGAUUAGCCAGAUAUUUAGGCUCCAAUCCCCCCUUAUCCAGGACUAAUGUUAUUUGCCUCAAAGCUUUUCAGCAUCUUCAUUCCUUCUGCUCAAAACCUGGCUGUGACAGUUUCAAAGCCUCUGAUUUUCCACUGGAGUCUUUGCACACUCUGCUCAACAGUUGUCACUUCUUGGUCAUCACAUCUUUCUUCUUCCUUCAACUGAAAGAGCAAAAACUACCGAAAAAUGAUCUUUUGGAAAAAAAUAAGACAUGAAGCCACCUCAUUCUCCUCCCUGGCAAGCUAGUCUGUCUUAAGGCCAGUUGCAACCAUCCAUCAAAAUAACUUACAAACAGCAGCACACCAGCAGAGCUGCAGAGCAGCAGGCUGCAGAAGACAGGCUGGUACUUAGCACAAAACCUACACAAGAAGAGAGACACAGCAGCACUCACUUCCCGUUCGCACUAUAAAUUUUCUCAGUCAGUGUUAUGACUCUGCAUGUUUGUAGCUUAACACACAAA